CAGAUAUACUAAUAGCUAGCUAGUAAGAAAACGACCAAAACUUCCCUAAUCUACUCGAUCACAUGCAAUGUCGAUCAUCUCAAAGCUAGAUGGUAUGUGCCUGAUUCUCUUGAUUGAUUUUGAACCAAUUUGCCACACGUUCGACUUUACUUCAUGACUUGUGUUUGUAUUGACUAGUGAGCUCUUUGAAAGACCGAUGUCAAUUUACUAUCCUCUCAUGUAUGCACGACGAGUCUAUGAAUAUAUAAAAAGCCGAUGCGGUUGUCUUUUAGAUUAAUUUACACGUAAAUUUUACAGUGAAUUCGACAUUUGCAUUUGUAUUCUUGUCCCCAAUUUUCACCCGCGUGAAGGACUUACAGCUAGAAAUAAGAUUUUAGGGUAAAAAUAAUAUAUCUACAAGUCAAGUUGUACUCUUCACUAGCGCUGGGCACGGGACGGGAUAGGCCGGGAUUUGGUGAAUCCCGUCCCGUCCGGAAAAUAAAAAAACGGGACAGAACGGGACGGGAAUGCAUUUUUAGAAAUCUAUCUCGUACGUCCCGAUCCCGUUUGGAAUCGGGAUGGGACCAUGAUAGGAUCGGGAUCCCGAAAAAUUAACCCUAAAAAAAAAAACCUGAAAAUAAUCAAAAUAUCUAUCUCUGAAUUAUUAUCUUUCUCAUCUUUGUCAUCAAUUUCAGCAUAGAAGAAGUGGGAGAAGGAGGAGAAGUGGGAGAAGAUGAAGAUGGGGUCUUUGCGGAAGGAGCCGAAGAGGUUGUCGACGGAGCGGGAAUUGUAGUCGUCGCCAUAAAAGAAGUCGUCGUCGAGGGUUCCGAUACGGGUGAGGUGGAGGAAGGGGCGGUGGCGGCGAGAUCGAGACGGGAGAGGAGGAGGAGUCUGUGGGGGUGGGGGAAGAUCAGGAGGCGGCGAGGUUGAGGUGGGAGAGGAGGAGGAGUCUACGGGGGUGGGGGAAGAUCGGGAGGCGGCGAGGUCGAGGCGGGAGAGGAGGAGGAGUCUGCGGGGGUGGGGGAAGAUCUGGAGGCGACGAGGUCGAGACGGGAGAGGAGGGACUUGAGGGAGGGGUCGCGGUCGAUAAAGGCGGUGAGGAGGUGGGUGCCAUUUUCGAUGACGGUGCGGAAGGAGAAGAUGAGGAGGGAGAGGAAGAGGAAGGUGAGGAGGUUGGAGGUGGAGAAGGAGAAGGUUUUGUUUGUUAGGGGGUUUCUGUUUGUUUUUUGUUUUGUUUUGGGUGGAUCUGUGUGGGAGAGAGAGAGGAGAAGAGCAUGUGUGUGUUGUAGUAGGGGGAUGGUUUUGUAUAUAAAAUGAUUAAAAUCAAGUAUUUAAUGAAGUAUAAAGUGUAGAGAAAGAGAGAUAGCAAGAAAAUCAUCAUCUUAUUCAUUGAUAGGAGCCCUUUAUAUAGGGAAUUACACAAUACCAAUAUGGUAAGGAUAUGAAUACAUAGAUCUAGUCUAACUACAUAUCCUAUUGGCAUAAGUCCAAGGCACACAUAAAGAAUAUCUACAAAGAUACAGAAUAUCUUAGAACACUCCCCCUUGUGCCGCGCGCUGAUAUGCCGAUGGUGCUGAUCUGUUGCCUCGUCAAAAACCUCGUCAAGUCACAAAAACCCUGUGGGAGAAAAACUGAACCUUGAUCGUAGGAGAAAAAGAGUACAACGCACCCUUCACAUUUGAUAGUGACAUGUAUGUAUGUGCUAGACUCCCCCUGAAGUUCGCACCUCCCCCUGAUCUUUACAUCAAUCAUAGGGCUCUUCCUGAUUCUUACUAAUCACGAAAAUUUCAACAACUUAGCAUGUCAAUGCUCUUUAACAUGUCUGCAAAUGUGGCAUUAGGCAAUGAUUAACUAAAUCAUGCCGUAUUGUCCUCAAAUGAUCUUUUACACUUAGAUCUUGAGGAGAAGGCCGCUUGUGAACUCAAAACAUAAGUUCGUGCAGGAAAUUAGAUUUCCGCGCAGCAUGACCUUCAGUUACUAGAACAAUCGUAACUUCCUCUAGGAAAUACAUAUGAACGAACCGUAAAUGGUUUUGGAAACUAGACUCAUUUAGUUUUCCAACUGUAUAUUACACACGUUCUGGUUCGUCAGGAGCUAUUCACAAAGUCCCGUCGAGGUUGACUGUUUUGCCAAAAUCAGAUUCUCGGACAGAUUCGUCCUACUUUACGAAAACGGCCAUAACUCACUCAAUAUGAUAGGUAUGAACAAAUGGUUGGUGUCCCUGGAAAGUAGACACAUAGACCUUUCCAAUGGUACCAAUUUCAUCAUUUUCCAGUGAGUGAGAUUUCUUGUAGGUCCCGUGGAAGUUGACCUACGAAACUUGGCAGAUUCUGAUUUCGCUAUUGAUGUGUCUUUCUUAUGUAGGGAUAGAAUAAGCCUCAACCUUUCAUACCAUUAAGUAUUGAAAAAGGAGUUACUGCCAUUACAUUGGUGUUGCGUGGGCGCAUAGCUACACUUAGCUUUA
rnacentral:lncRNA from 1 species